AUACGGAGGAUGCAAGCGUUAUCCGGAUUUAUUGGGUUUAAAGGGUGCGCAGGCGGAAAAUUAAGUCAGUGGUGAAAUCCUACAGCUUAACUGUAGAACUGCCAUUGAUACUGAUUUUCUUGAGUGCAGUUGAGGUAGGCGGAAUGUGUAAUGUAGCGGUGAAAUGCUUAGAUAUUACACAGAACACCGAUUGCGUAGGCAGCUUACUAAACUGUUACUGACGCUCAGGCACGAAAGCGUGGGGAGCGAACAGGAUUAGAAACCCCGGUAGUCC
rnacentral:rRNA from 1 species